UUAAAACUUAAAACUAUGAAAUAGAAGCGACGACUGUUGUUACAUUAUUAUAUCCGUGGGAAUGAAAGGGCCAGUAGUCGUGCCCAGAACUUUUAGUACCCAAAACAAUAUUGAGAGUGUCUUGUGUUUAGGCCUAUUUAACAUCUAACAACUCAAGUUUGACAUUUUCACUAAUUAAUUUAAUUCCAAGUUUCUUUAUUAGAUCAUAAAAAAUUGUGUCGGAUGGUUUCAGCCAAUGAAAGACUGUCACAUGGUAUUUAUUGAGAUUUUCUCACACACAAUUUUUACAGAUAUUUAUCCUGACAGAGUAAUUUUAAGUUUAAAUUUGGAAAUAUAAAUG
rnacentral:lncRNA from 1 species